GUUCUUGUGAGAGUUUAAGGAUGAGGAACCUGGGAAAAGAGGGUGCUGGGAAACAGGUUGUCAUGGAGACCAUAAAGCACAGCUGGAUCACCGGUCUCCACAACCCAGCUUCAGGCAAAUCAACAUGUGUCUGACCCUGUCCUCGACCCCCCAGUGUGUCUGACCCUGUCCUCGACCAACCCCAGUGUGUCUGACCCUGUCCUCGACCCCCAGUGUUGUGUCUGACCCUGUCCUCGACCAACCCCAGUGUGUCUGACCCUGUCCUCGACCCCCAGUUGUGUCUGACUCUGCCCUCGACCAACCCCAGUGCGUCCAUCACGAGGCUGCCCCCCCACUCAGCUCCUGUUGGUCUGUCUUUCUGUCAGUCUCCCUGCCGGUCAGUUUGUAUGUUUCUCUCUUUGAGAUGUGUCUGUCUGUCUCUCCCUCGGCCCGGUCUGUCUGUCCUUCUGUCUGUCUCUCUGCCUGUCUGGAGGUGGGUG
ensembl:lncRNA